rnacentral:rRNA from 1 species
CGACGACGGGUAGCCGGCCUGAGAGGGCGACCGGCCACACUGGGACUGAGACACGGCCCAGACUCCUACGGGAGGCAGCAGUGGGGAAUAUUGCACAAUGGGCGAAAGCCUGAUGCAGCGACGCCGCGUGAGGGAUGACGGCCUUCGGGUUGUAAACCUCUUUCAGCAGGGAAGAAGCGCAAGUGACGGUACCUGCAGAAGAAGCGCCGGCUAACUACGUGCCAGCAGCCGCGGUAAUACGUAGGGCGCAAGCGUUGUCCGGAAUUAUUGGGCGUAAAGAGCUCGUAGGCGGCUUGUCACGUCGGAUGUGAAAGCCCGGGGCUUAACCCCGGGUCUGCAUUCGAUACGGGCUAGCUAGAGUGUGGUAGGGGAGAUCGGAAUUCCUGGUGUAGCGGUGAAAUGCGCAGAUAUCAGGAGGAACACCGGUGGCGAAGGCGGAUCUCUGGGCCAUUACUGACGCUGAGGAGCGAAAGCGUGGGGAGCGAACAGGAUUAGAUACCCUGGUAGUCCACGCCGUAAACGUUGGGAACUAGGUGUUGGCGACAUUCCACGUCGUCGGUGCCGCAGCUAACGCAUUAAGUUCCCCGCCNGGG